CCUACGGGGGGCUGCAGUGGGGAAUAGUGGACAAUGGGGGAAACCCUUAUCCAGCGACGCCGCGUGAGGGAAGAAGGUUUUCGGAUGGUAAACCUCUGUCAGUGGGGACGAAAAUGACGGUACCCACGGAGGAAGCCACGGCUAACUACGUGCCAGCAGCCGCGGUAAUACGUAGGUGGCAAGCGUUGUCCGGAAUUACUGGGUGUAAAGGGAGCGUAGGCGGGAUGUCAAGUCAGAAGUGAAAAUUAUGGGCUCAACUCAUAACCUGCUUUUGAAACUGAUAUUCUUGAGUGAAGUAGAGGCAAGCGGCAUUCCUCUUGUAGCGGUGCACUGCUUAGCUAUUAGGCGGAACCCCAGUGGCGCAGGCGGCUUGCUGGGCUUUUCCUGACGCUGAGGCUCGAAAGCGUGGGGAGCAAACAGGAUUAGAUACCCCAGUAGUC
rnacentral:rRNA from 1 species